rnacentral:snRNA from 1 species
GUUGGAAAUUCUGUCUUAAUCUAAAAUUGGAAUGAUACAGAGAAGAUUAGCAUGGCCUCUGCGCA